GGUGUCAGCCAUACCAUGAACACGCCCAAUCUUGUUUGAUCUUGGAAGCUAAGCAGGCUUAGCCCUGGUUUAGUCUUGCAUGGGAGAAAUGACCUUA
rnacentral:rRNA from 1 species